rnacentral:rRNA from 1 species
UACGGAGGGUGCGAGCGUUAAUCGGAAUUACUGGGCGUAAAGCGUCUGUAGGUGGUGAUGCAAGUCACUGGUGCAAAACUCUGGCUCAACCGGAGGAAAGCCAGUGAAACUGCAUGACUAGAGUGUGGGAGAGGUAGAAGGAAUUCCCUGAGUAGCGGUGAAAUGCGUAGAGACAGGGAAGAACACCGGAGGCGAAAGCGUUCUACUGGAACACAACUGACACUGAGAGACGAAAGAUAGGGGAGCGAAUGGG